rnacentral:lncRNA from 1 species
AUGCCGGAGCUCUGCCUCCUUGUGAGGCAGCUGCGCGUUCCCUAUCCCCUUAGAUGGGUUUUUCUGCGCUGGGCAGGUGUGCGCAGGGGUGUGUGCUAUACGUGUAAACGUCUGGGGGGAGAGGUCUUUCAGUGCCCGCGCUGCUGGUUUCCGAGGGUUUCUCCGCUGGGCGUGUGCAACUCUGGGUGCACGCGGGGGUCUGCACGUGUCGGCCUGCGUGCGGACACGCUGGGCGGCGCUCCUGCACCAGCGUACGUGCACGCAUCUCCGCGUGUGCGUGGCCAUCCGCGUGCCCGCGCUGCGUGUGAGGCGAGGUGUGAGCCAGUCCACCCUGCCCUGCGGUGGCACGGGGCUUCCCUCCGCCCUGCACCCCCAGCAGGCGCUUUACGGUCCAGCAGAUGGCGCCCGAGGCCAUCUUCCGCCUGCCAGGCAACUGCUUGUCUCAGCCUGGGGGAACCCUCUCCCCGCCGGUCAUGGUGGAGGGGGAGGGUAGGAGAUGGAGGAGCUGAGGCCCGAGGCGGUCGAUCUUGUACCUGGGCUGAGUAUGCCAGGCCUCAAAGAGGGGAGUGGGGCAGGCUGGGACCUGGAAGCUCGCGUCGGCCGCCCCCACCCGCCGUCCACCCCAGCCCUGCCCUGCGGCGCUGGCUACAGACAGAUUGGCUUUAUUCAUGGACACGCGGGGGGCGGCCGGGCCCGCCCGCCCGGGACACGCUCACACGGGGGGUGGGGGACUCUCCAUGCCACAAUCACGACACACGACGCCCGCCCUCGGACCGGGCCGGCUGGGGGAGGGGGCAUGGCACAGCCUGGCUCCUGGUUUUGGUUAAAAAAAUGUUUCUUGGGGUCGACGUGAGAGUGGGGUGGGGAGCUCUGGGGCUGCCCGGGGGCCCCUGGAGAGCCUCUGUCGGGGGUCGGGGGAAGCCGUCCCUUUCCGAUCUUCGUUUAAAAACACAUAGAACAUGCUACAUCCGCUCAGACACUGGACGGGAUGGGGCAGGGAGGAGGCAACAAAGGUGA